rnacentral:lncRNA from 1 species
AAAAAGAGAAGAAGAGGAGCUUCAACACUUAACCAGAUCACGAGUUGACCGAAGGAGCUGCUCGGAGAUGAAGCUAACCAAAGCUUACGUUGAUUGGAGGGUUUGGAAAGCAAAGCUUAUGGAAGCCGUUGGAUCAAGAUGAAGCCCAAAGCGUCUCGUGCAAGUUUCUUCUUCCCUUUUUCCCUCUUUCAUGUUUUUCAAUUGUUUCUGACCCUAUAAAAAGGGUGCUUCUGCG